rnacentral:rRNA from 1 species
GAUGAACGCUGGCGGCGUGCCUAAUACAUGCAAGUAGAACGCUGAAGGAGGAGCUUGCUCUUCUGGAUGAGUUGCGAACGGGUGAGUAACGCGUAGGUAACCUGCCUGGUAGCGGGGGAUAACUAUUGGAAACGAUAGCUAAUACCGCAUGACAACAGUUAUUGCAUGAUAACUGUUUAAAAGGGGCAACUGCUCCACUACCAGAUGGACCUGCGUUGUAUUAGCUAGUUGGUGAGGUAACGGCUCACCAAGGCGACGAUACAUAGCCGACCUGAGAGGGUGGUCGGCCACACUGGGACUGAGACACGGCCCAGACUCCUACGGGAGGCAGCAGUAGGGAAUCUUCGGCAAUGGACGGAAGUCUGACCGAGCAACGCCGCGUGAGUGAAGAAGGUUUUCGGAUCGUAAAGCUCUGUUGUAAGAGAAGAACGAGUGUGAGAGUGGAAAGUACACACUGUGACGGUAUCUUACCAGAAAGGGACGGCUAACUACGUG